rnacentral:lncRNA from 10 species
CUGGGCCUGGGAAACAAUGGCAACCAGCUGACCCCUGUGAGAGUGGCAGCUUUGCACAGCGUGUGUGUGAACCAGAUUGUCUGCGGUUACGCACAUACUCUAGCACUAACAGAUGAGGGCUUGCUGUAUGCCUGGGGAGCUAACACAUAUGGGCAGCUGGGAACUGGCAAUAAAAAUAACCUGCUAAGCCCAGCACACAUCAUGGUGGAGAAAGAAAGGUAACUUGGCUGUGCCACGUCUUGGGACUGUGUGUGCGAUGUGGCCUUGGGGCUGUGUGUGGCAGAGCUGUGGUGUUUGGCUUUGUGAUUCUUCUGUUUAUUAACAUUCUCAUUUUGGACAAAAGAGAUAACCUUCCCUUCUCCCUUCCCCCUUC